UGUCACUCCUGCUGCUGGUGUCAACUCACACUAACUAUCUGUGUUUGAAUUUUAGUUCAUGUAGCAGUGCCUGUCUGUAAGUACAUUUUCUCUUCACCCAUCUGGUAGAAGUAGGGACACCCAACAGGGAGCAAUGUCCUAGAGGAUCUCUAAUCAGUGGAAUGCUUCUGUUUAUGAAUACACAGAGCAUGUCCUCUUAAUGAGUGAUCUGUUAUUAUAAUGAAAGGUAAACACUUGGCUGAAAGACUGAGAAAGAAAAUCGCCAAAGCAACAUGUUAACAGUUUAGCUUUUCCUAUUUUUUUUUUUGCAAACUCUUUAUUUUAUGUGCAUUAGUGUUUUUGCCUGCAUGUAUGUCUACAUGAGAGUUUGGGUCCCCCAGAGUUGGCAUACCAGACAGUUGUGAGCUGCCAUAUGGUUUCAGGGAAACAGAGCAGCCAGUGCUCUUAACCACUGAGCCAUCUCAGCUACAGAGGAUGAAUACCAGAUACAGAGAUAGCCAGGAAGGAGUGCAGGGCACACAGACCCAAGGAGGAGCACAGGGAGAUGAGUACAGCCAGCAUCAGCUCAUGGAUCGCUCCCAGUUAACCUUCCUACUGGAUGGGGAAAGGGAACCAUACACAGCGCCAGCCAGUCACACCAGACCAGACCCUGCCUCUUAUCAUAGAUAGCAUCCUGGGGGAGGUCUGGCAUCGGCAGAAGCACUAGCAAUGGUUAGCUCUUGGGGAAAAAACUAAAAGGAAAGAGACUGGAGCCUUGUUCCAAAUAUUCUGCUAACGUGUUUUUGUUUCAUAUUGUCCUGCCUGGUACUCCCAUGCCUUUUGUGUUUGCACCGAUAGGCUGAGUUGACAGUUCCGGGAAAUUCACACUACUUCCUAUGGUUCUAUUCCCAGGUUGCACGGAUAGAAAACUUCCCAAAAAGCCACUAGUAUGCAGGGAUUCUUUGAAGAAGAGCAGAUGCCAUCUGAAGAGUGAGUGUGGGACUCCAACGAGGUGCGACUCCCCCACCAGGAACAGAUCUGUACUGCUAGAGUGCGAGCCCCGUGAAAGAGAAAGAAAGUGUUCAGGUGGCGUUCUAAAGAGACGCGAUUCCCAGACAGGAAUUCCAAGAAGACUGGAAUCUCAAGUAAGGUUUGCCACAGGACCCGAUAAUGAAAUUUCAUCUAAAGCCCAUUGUUGUGAGCCACCAGUUUGCAGAAAUCGGGAAUCCCUCAGGAAGAAUGAGGACGGCAUACUGAAGAAACAGGAUUCACAGAGGACAAGGCCUAAGAAAUGCCGACUAGAACCACAAGAAAGGUGUGUUGUUCUGCCUCCUUGCUAUCAGCCAGGGGCACCUCCGGCUCCACGUGGGCCAUAGGGGCUUCCACUGUGAUCUUCAGGAUCAAGCUGUGUCCCUGCCCUCACCCCGGUGGAACACAGUUACAAAAUCCAUUUCCUCUAUACAUCUUCGUUUUCUGCUAUUCAGAAGUUUGCCGUUAUUAGACUUCCCUGACACAAACUACAUCUUCCAAAUUUUUUCUGUAAGCCAAUACGUAUAUCUACUCCAACGAAGAAAGACAGUGUUCUCAGAAAUAAAAUGUCUUUACUAAAUACCUAAUUAGUUCUUUUGACAGUGUUCUAUCUCUAGCUCACCCAGUUGACCUUAUGACCUUGAUGGCUGCAAAUGCUUUAUGAUCCACCAAAAAAAAAAAAAAAUACAUAGGAAAUAAAGUCAGACCUCCCGCAACCAAGCAGUUUAUGACAGAAAUGGUGGCCAUGUAAGCACAAUCAUUUUUUUAAGAGUCAAUUUUAAAAUGUGUCCAAAAGUAGUUUAAGUGGUCUGGAAAGAGUUUAGAGAUAAGAGAGUCAGAAAUCAGUCGGUAGAGCUUGGGACUCUUAAUCCCAGGGUCGUGGGUUCGAGCCCCACGUUGGGCGCCAAAAUGUUAUCUUUUGUUUAAAAAGAAUAGAAAUGCUGAGGCAUGACACAUAUUGACUAUAAGUUUAUUAUAGGCCCGGCAGAGUAUGGAGACUAAGAGAAGAAGAACAGGAUAAUGGCUGACCACCAUGGCCGGUUGCCAUAGAGAGACAGAGAGAGAGCAUAGGUGGGAGACAGAGUAGAGAGAAAGCAGAGACAAAGCAGAGCGGGGGAACAGAGAGAGGAAACAGAGAGCGUAAAUGGGCAGGGACCUGUCUUUUAAAGGGGUCCUCUGCACCUGCGCGCAGACUUAGUUCCCAUGGAACCUUGGGCUGACCAGGGUACUGCCUGUUCCACCAGGUAAUAGGGGCAGGCCAGCAUAAUGCCUGAACCUUUCAGGCAUAGCCCUGUGAGUCUGAGGUCAGCCUGGUCUACACAGCAGUUCCAGGCCAGCCAGAUAUACAUGGUGAAAUUCUACCUCACUACUACUAAUAAUAAUAAAUUAAAAUAAAAAUUUGAAAGUUCUUAUCUCCAGCAAGAGACAUAACCCAACAGGGGGCUGUGAGGGGUCCUCUCCGUUUCUCAUGUCCUCUUGAUUGCUGUCCUCCUGUCCUGCCUCAGAAAGAGAGGAAGCAGUUGGCUGGUGGCUCAUGUGCAACGCUGCCUUCAGCCAAACCUGAGGCCAGGACCCUCCCAAGUCCUGUGACCUCCAUACAUCGUACACGCACACAGACACACUCACACACAUGUGCACACACACGUGCACACACACGUGCACACAGAGACGCGUGCGCAAGCGCGCACACCACACACGUGCACACACGCACAGACACCACACACACACACCACACACGUGCACACACGCGCACAGACACCACACACGUGCACAUGCACUUGCGCGCACACACGCACGCGCAUCCACACGCCACAAGCACGUACACAUACACACGUAUUGACACUCACCACACACGCACAACACACACACACACACACACACACACACACACUCCCCGCCAUUGCCUUCUGCUCAUUUCCCAUUCACGCCCACCCGCGCCCCCUCCGCACCGCCCC
ensembl:lncRNA